rnacentral:rRNA from 1 species
UUUUUCGUGGGGGAUAACGUAGGGAAACUUACGCUAAUACCGCAUACGACCUACGGGUGAAAGCAGGGGACCUUCGGGCCUUGCGCGAUUGAAUGAGCCGAUGUCGGAUUAGCUAGUUGGCGGGGUAAAGGCCCACCAAGGCGACGAUCCGUAGCUGGUCUGAGAGGAUGAUCAGCCACACUGGAACUGAGACACGGUCCAGACUCCUACGGGAGGCAGCAGUGGGGAAUAUUGGACAAUGGGCGCAAGCCUGAUCCAGCCAUACCGCGUGGGUGAAGAAGGCCUUCGGGUUGUAAAGCCCUUUUGUUGGGAAAGAAAUCCAGCUGGCUAAUACCCGGUUGGGAUGACGGUACCCAAAGAAUAAGCACCGGCUAAGUGCGUGCCAGCAGCCGCGGUAAUACGAAGGGUGCAAGCGUUACUCGGAAUUACUGGGCGUAAAGCGUGCGUAGGUGGUCGUUUAAGUCCGUUGUGAAAGCCCUGGGCUCAACCUGGGAACUGCAGUGGAUACUGGGCGACUAGAAUGUGGUAGAGGGUAGCGGAAUUCCUGGUGUAGCAGUGAAAUGCGUAGAGAUCAGGAGGAACAUCCAUGGCGAAGGCAGCUACCUGGACCAACAUUGACACUGAGGCACGAAAGCGUGGGGAGCAAACA